AGCAAUGCCAUCUCCAACUGAUUUGGUCAUGGAACCAGUUUUUUUUUUUUUUUUCCGUACUAAUACUAGUCAAACAUAACUAAGCCAAUAUAGGGGCAUACAAAAACAUCAGAACAAUCAUUGUUUUCUAAAAUAAUAACGUUCUACCAAAUCCAUAAGAGAUGGUCUAUCUGCAUCAUGUGAUUGACCCUUGGGUCGAGGCAUACUUGUUUGAUGGAUUUAAUCUGGUGAAUACUUGUUUGUCUUUAGGUCACCGGAAUUCUACUAACA
rnacentral:lncRNA from 1 species